rnacentral:rRNA from 1 species
GAGUUUGAUCAUGGCUCAGAUUGAACGCUGGCGGCAGGCCUAACACAUGCAAGUCGAACGGUAACAGGAAGCAGCUUGCUGCUUUGCUGACGAGUGGCGGACGGGUGAGUAAUGUCUGGGAAACUGCCUGAUGGAGGGGGAUAACUACUGGAAACGGUAGCUAAUACCGCAUAACGUCGCAAGACCAAAGAGGGGGACCUUCGGGCCUCUUGCCAUCGGAUGUGCCCAGAUGGGAUUAGCUUGUUGGUGGGGUAACGGCUCACCAAGGCGACGAUCCCUAGCUGGUCUGAGAGGAUGACCAGCCACACUGGAACUGAGACACGGUCCAGACUCCUACGGGAGGCAGCAGUGGGGAAUAUUGCACAAUGGGCGCAAGCCUGAUGCAGCCAUGCCGCGUGUAUGAAGAAGGCCUUCGGGUUGUAAAGUACUUUCAGCGGGGAGGAAGGGAGUAAAGUUAAUACCUUUGCUCAUUGACGUUACCCGCAGAAGAAGCACCGGCUAACUCCGUGCCAGCAGCCGCGGUAAUACGGAGGGUGCAAGCGUUAAUCGGAAUUACUGGGCGUAAAGCGCACGCAGGCGGUUUGUUAAGUCAGAUGUGAAAUCCCCGGGCUCAACCUGGGAACUGCAUCUGAUACUGGCAAGCUUGAGUCUCGUAGAGGGGGGUAGAAUUCCAGGUGUAGCGGUGAAAUGCGUAGAGAUCUGGAGGAAUACCGGUGGCGAAGGCGGCCCCCUGGACGAAGACUGACGCUCAGGUGCGAAAGCGUGGGGAGCAAACAGGAUUAGAUACCCUGGUAGUCCACGCCGUAAACGAUGUCGACUUGGAGGUUGUGCCCUUGAGGCGUGGCUUCCGGAGCUAACGCGUUAAGUCGACCGCCUGGGGAGUACGGCCGCAAGGUUAAAACUCAAAUGAAUUGACGGGGGCCCGCACAAGCGGUGGAGCAUGUGGUUUAAUUCGAUGCAACGCGAAGAACCUUACCUGGUCUUGACAUCCACGGAAGUUUUCAGAGAUGAGAAUGUGCCUUCGGGAACCGUGAGACAGGUGCUGCAUGGCUGUCGUCAGCUCGUGUUGUGAAAUGUUGGGUUAAGUCCCGCAACGAGCGCAACCCUUAUCCUUUGUUGCCAGCGGUCCGGCCGGGAACUCAAAGGAGACUGCCAGUGAUAAACUGGAGGAAGGUGGGGAUGACGUCAAGUCAUCAUGGCCCUUACGACCAGGGCUACACACGUGCUACAAUGGCGCAUACAAAGAGAAGCGACCUCGCGAGAGCAAGCGGACCUCAUAAAGUGCGUCGUAGUCCGGAUUGGAGUCUGCAACUCGACUCCAUGAAGUCGGAAUCGCUAGUAAUCGUGGAUCAGAAUGCCACGGUGAAUACGUUCCCGGGCCUUGUACACACCGCCCGUCACACCAUGGGAGUGGGUUGCAAAAGAAGUAGGUAGCUUAACCUUCGGGAGGGCGCUUACCACUUUGUGAUUCAUGACUGGGGUGAAGUCGUAACAAGGUAACCGUAGGGGAACCUGCGGUUGGAUCACC